GCUCUUGUUGAACACAGAGCAUGCUGGAAACUACUCCUGCGAGGCUGACAAUGGCCUGGGAGCCCAGCACAGUGAGGUGAUGACACUCAGUGUCAUAGGAAUUUCCAGGAACAGAACUGGUCCUGCCACUGUACGAGUCAUUGUGGGGUUGUUUGGCCUUUCAGUUACUGCUGCUUCGCUGUAUUACUUCAGGACCCAGAAGAAAUCAGGAGGAGCUUUGGCCACUGGGACACCUAGUCCCAUUGCAUAUCAGGAGGCUUCCUUGUCCGGACCUGCCACAAUCCAUCUGGAGGAGUCUGUCCACUAUGAGUUACUGGCCUUAAAGGACCUGCAGCCAGUGUACACCAAUGUAAAUCCUGACAAUACCAACUGGAUUGGUUCCCACAUCCAGAGCAUCCAGAAUACAAAUGGAAAUGAAGCAAAUUCACCAAGGAUGCAUUGGAAAAAUAAGGUGAGCCAUGUGUCCUCGUUUCCUGUUCUCUGUGCUCUUCUUCACCUAUAUUGGGGUGCUGAUUAUUUGUGAAUUUUUCACCAGGAGCCUGUAGUUAUUUAUUCAGAGUUGAAGGCACGCCCAGAUGAGUUUGCAGAGCAGACCAGCAGGAGAGAGAGUGCCCGAGAAGAUACUACAGAAGACUAUGAGAAUGUCUCAAGCGGAUCUGCAGCCACAGGCCACUAGAUCCUUCUUCAGAUUGGUCCACAGAGACUGUGGGAACAGCUCUGUCCUUCCCCUUUUCUCUCAAGCACACUUCAGCCUUCUUCCCGCAGACUCUGCCUCCAUGGCCACUGCGAUACCGGGGAUGGGAGGCUGUGCAAAAGGCCUGCCACCUCUUCUUUGUCAGAGUCGGUGUAUUUUCCAGGAAUAGAAUGCUCAGCAUCCGGGCAAGCGCUGCAUUAUUGCUGUAAGAACAGGCUUGAUAUCAGGGCCAUGGAGUAGAGGAGGAACUGGUUUAGCCCUGGUCACAAGGGCUAUAUAAUCACAGCAAAUACACAAAUAAUUCUGGGCAUCAUCAUUUCCAUUUUAUGAAUGACACAGAGCCCUAUAGAGGGGCUAAUGCAAAAUCAUAUGCAAAUAAAAACAGGAUCCAAACCCAGAUCUGAUCCACACUGAAGUCUGUGCUCUCAACUGCCACAGUGCUCUGCUUUUUCUCUACAAGAAUAAUUCAAAAGAACCACACAGUGGUGUGAAAGGGGAAUUAUAUGCAGUUUACUAAAUAGCUGAUUUAAGCAUGUAUAAAUGAUUUUUAGAAUUAGUCUUUUAUGAACUUCUAAUCUACCCUACUAAACAGUGUGAAGGUUCCCUGAUUCAUUGUCUUGGUUUUGCUUCGUUGAUCCUUUAUUUCUUCCCUCAAUGAUCAUUCUGUAUGCAAUUUGCAUCAAAAUGGUUCUUCCCGUCUAUGCAGAAGUUUAAUGUUAUUUGCAUAAGUUUCUCAGAAACUCUGUUGAGAUUGCUCAAAGUGUGGAAUCCCUGUCUAAUCUGUCUCUUAGGAAGUUUGCUUCCCAGCAGUGCCAAAUGUUACAUGAAGUAAUAUGUGUCUCUAUCUAACUUUUCUUGUGGCUGAAACAAAAUACCUGAAACCCAAAUUUAAAGGAGGGAAGGUUUAUUCGGCUCACACUUUGUAGAGGUUUCAGUCCAUAGUUGGCUGGCUCCAAGGCAAGGUGGCAUGACAGAAGGGCAUCUCAGAGGACAAGCAGUCAAGGGCAAGCAGGGGGGAGACAAAAGGAUGUUAGCCCACUCUCUGUCCAUUAUAGUUUAUGUCCAUUAUAUUUACCUGCCAGGUGGGGGUGUAGUACGCACACCCUUGAUCUUAGCCAGAACUAUACCAAACCAAUCAGUGGACUGACUUAAUAAUCACACACCCUUGACCCCACCCCUUUAGAUCAGCAUCACACACUGCAGAUUCAUCCCCCUUUGAAAAUCCCCUCCCUACAGCUUUAGGAGGCUGGGGCGGGGGGUGCAUCUGAACACCAGUCAUAACACUGUCUAUCUACAUGUGUGCUAUUUCUUCUGAAACAUUCAUUAUUUUAAAAAUAAGUCAUUCUAUUUAAUGAAUAGUGAGCUUCUAAAAUAGUGUUAUUAGAUAGAUAGAUAGACAGAUAACAAAUAGACAGAUGGAUAGGAUAGAUGUAAACAGAUGACAUUUCCAACCAGAAAGAAGCUGUGAUCUUCAAGAUACCUCCUUUGUCACAGGAUAGAACAUUCCCCCCAUCAGUAACAGCUGUUUUACUGCUUCACUUGAACACUCACUAUCUGGAUCUAUUGAAGAAUCAGCAGCAAACCAGUGGAUCAGAUGAUUCAUGUGACUCGGGUGGAAAAGCUCAUCUUCACUCAGGAGCCCUUGUCCCUGAGCUGGCAGUGGAUGCAGAGACAACAGAGCAUCAACCAGUAAGCUUGGAUAUCACUCCCACCGCUCACAUACUUCUCAUCUAACCCUCAGUUAACUGGCAAACACUGAGUGUCUGUCAUUGAAGUAAAAAGAAACAUGGCAUCGUGCUUAAAUUUCAGGAAAAUUGGCAGGAUUACUUUUACUUACAGUUUUCUCCGAGGUGGAAAGGAAAUAACUGAAACUGUUAGCCUUGAUCAUCUGGUACGACAUGAAACUUUUUAUAGCUUUGGAAUCUUUAGGCCUAAAAAAGAAAGGCCCGUAUGUUCACUGUUGUGCACCAACUGGUAUGAUUUAUAGACUUCAUUGACUUUAUACUCACCAUUGUUCAUCACCUCAUGUAAAUAACACAACAGUGCUUUUCAAACCUUGAAAAUAACUCAAGCAUAUAAAAGCAUGAAGUGUAUUUCAGAUUUUAUUCUUUUCCCCUUGGGUAUCAAUAGCUUAGACAACAGAAAGUAUAGCAUGUAUCGAAAUGCAAUCCAAUUUGAAGUUUUUAAUAUUGGACUAAUGAAUUCAACUAGCAAGCUAAUUCACUGAGGAGCAAAAAUUCAUUUUCUUUUUAGUGAGGGAAUACAUUUUUUUUUGUUAUGUGAGAGGAGGUUAUGUGUCAUGCUCCCAUAUGACUCGGUUCAAAACACAAUUAAGAAAGGUGGGCCUGGCCUCUACAGAGAUCAGUGUAUAUAGGUGGAGCCUGUAUGAACUUCAAAUACACUCCAAAUGCCUUCCUACCGGGGGUUCUGGGAAGAAUAAAACUGUUCUAUACGAGGAGAGGAAGCCAUGUUACUCUGUGCCUGCCAUAGGAAAACUACUGGAAAGACUGCUCAUAACAGGUAGAAAAGUUCCCCUGUUGACCUAUGCAAGGGAAAAAUAGCUCUAGGCUGGGGGAAGGAGACAGGAAUGAGGCAGAGUCCUCUGGGUUCAACCUUCAUUCUCCUCCGGGCAGUGAUGAUUCUGCAGUGAUGAAGGUAGCUCCUUGCUUAGCAGCCUUGGGGAUGAAGAACACCAGGAAAUUAUGGAUCUAAACCAGCAAGAAAAGGAACAUUCAAUUUCUUCUGACACAAACUACCUCUGUGUGAACCGGAGACCUCCUCCCAGAACUCCCUAUCCAGAUCCUCAAAAUAAGAGCAAAUAGUAGUACCUGUAAGCAGUCAGGGUGAGUCUGAGGUGUGUUUGGAGAAGUUCCAAGAAGAAAUUAUGUUUCUAGCAAGUCAAGAAAGUAACUGCAGAGAUAGCAAUGUUAAAGGGCAUUACUAUAAUUUAUUUCUUUACAUUCCAUUUGUUUAUGUUUAUUAAAACUCAAUGCACAAUAAAGCACACAUUUUAAAAAAAUUAAUUUUAUUGUUACAAUUUAAUAUGCAUAAAAAUCACAUUUACCAUAGGGAAUUUGUACCCUUACAUGAUCCCUCUUUUUCUCCCAAUUCUCUCCCCUCCCUUCUACUCCUCUUCCUUCUUAUUUACAAAAGCUUUCAUUCCAUUUUUUUCCCUACUUUUCUUAUUUUUUUCUUUUCCCUUUCUUCUUUUCCUCCUCCUCCAUUAUAAAAUACCUAUGUAAAGUGUUCAAUUGUAUGAUUUUUUUUUUUUUUUUUUAACCAGGGAUUGAACUCAGGUCCUUGUGCUCAUGAGUCAGGCAGCAGAACCACUGAGCUAAAUCCCCAGCCCCAGUUGUAUGAGUUUUGACAAAUGUGUACCUCUACAAAACCACAUAACAGUCAAGAUCUCACAUACCUCUAGCAUCCCCAAAGCACCUUGCCCCCUACACAGCACUUCUCUCCUUCCCAGUCACUGGGCGCUUUUCCAAAAAUGUGCAUAAAUGGAAUCAUAUAAUAUGGCUUCUUUU
rnacentral:lncRNA from 1 species